CGGAAAGAGAGGGAUUCGAACCCUCGGUACAAAUAACUCGUACAACGGAUUAGCAAUCCGCCGCUUUAGUCCACUCAGCCAUCUCUCCCAAUUGAAAAAAAAAAAAGAUAAUUACUAUGUUACAUUACGCGUAAAGUAAGGAUUAAAAAAGUCUUUCUCUCUCUUUAUCUUUAUAUAGAAUAUAGAUAUGUACAACUUUUAUCAGCAAUUCUAUUUAGAUAAAGUAAGGACUGGAAAGAUCCAAUAUAAAGAAAAAUCAAAAUAAAGAAGACUUAUUUGCUUUGAUUUUAUUCGAAAGAGCCUUUUUUUAUUCC
rnacentral:tRNA from 1 species